GGAGAGAAAAAAAAUCCAUUUUUGCACAAAGUAAAUAAUCCUCUCUUUAUAUUCGAAAGGAAAAGUCAAAAAUUUACUCUAUUUAUCUGCGAUAAGCCUCUCUCUGGUUAGGGUUUUCUGUGUCUCUGAUUUUUCUUUUCAUUUCAGCUUCUGGGUUGUGCUCAAUUAGUUUUAGCAGCAACUCUUUACUCGGGUUUUGCUCUACUGGGUUUGGUUGGUUUGGAUGGCUUUGGGUGUUUUGUGUUCUUAGCUCAAAGACAGGGCUUU
rnacentral:misc_RNA from 1 species